GGGCUGUGUGGUGUGGUGUCCAGGCUGGAAUCGGUGUGGCUCCCCCCAACUCCAGUAUUCCCUCACCAGAAAACAAGUUGUGUUGUGGUCAACUGCAGAUUUCUGCGGCAUUCAUGGACUCAUGGAGGGGAGGGUGACCCCAACAAAGCAUUUUCUGCUGCCUGUGCCUAUGCAGCCACAAAGCAAGAAACCUGAAUAAGCCAAUUUUAAAAAAUACCAAAAACGAUUGCGCAGAGAAAGAGAGAGA